UACGUAGGGGGCAAGCGUUGUCCGGAAUCAUUGGGCGUAAAGCGCGUGUAGGCGGCCAGAAAAGUCCGCUGUGAAAACUCGAGGCUCAACUUCGAGCUGUCGGUGGAAACUUUCUGGCUAGAGUCCGGAAGAGGAGAAUGGAAUUCCUGGUGUAGCGGUGAAAUGCGCAGAUAUCAGGAAGAACACCCGUGGCGAAGGCGGUUCUCUGGGACGGUACUGACGCUGAGGCACGAAGGCCAGGGGAGCAAACGGG
rnacentral:rRNA from 1 species